GUGACUCUGGAGAAGCCCGCGUGAUGCGGGGGCCGAAGGUGCAACGUGCGGCGACGUACGAAUCUCUCAGGCAAAAGGACC
rnacentral:ncRNA from 1 species